rnacentral:rRNA from 1 species
GAGGAACUAGGCAAAAUGGCACCGUAACUUCGGGAGAAGGUGCGCCUCUUGGUGUGGUCACGUGCGUGACUGAGCAUCGAGGGGUCGCAGUAACCUGGCCGCUGCGACUGUUUAUCAAAAACACAGCACUCUGCAAACACGAAAGUGGACGUAUAGGGUGUGACGCCUGCCCGGUGCUGGAAGGUUAAUUGAUGGGGUCAGCCGCAAGGCGAAGCUCUUGAUCGAAGCCCCAGUAAACGGCGGCCGCAACAAUAACGGUCCUAAGGUAGCGAAAUUCCUUGUCGGGUAAGUUCCGACCUGCACGAAUGGCGUAACGACAGCGGCGCUGUCUCCACCCGAGACUCAGUGAAAUUGAAAUCGCUGUGAAGAUGCAGCGUUCCCGCGGCAAGACGGAAAGACCCCGUGAACCUUUACUAUAGCUUUACACUGAACGUUGAGUUCUUCUGUGUAGGAUAGGUGGGAGGCUAUGAAACCAGGACGCUAGUUCUGGUGGAGCCAUCCUUGAAAUACCACCCUGAAGUGCUUGACGUUCUAACCUAGGUCCGUAAUCCGGAUCGGGGACCGUGUAUGGUGGGUAGUUUGACUGGGGCGGUCUCCUCCCAAAGAGUAACGGAGGAGCACGAAGGUACGCUCAGCGCGGUCGGACAUCGCGCACUGUGUGCAAAGGCAUAAGCGUGCUUGACUGCGAGAUCGACGGAUCAAGCAGGUACGAAAGUAGGUCUUAGUGAUCCGGUGGUUCUGUAUGGAAGGGCCAUCGCUCAACGGAUAAAAGGUACUCCGGGGAUAACAGGCUGAUACCGCCCAAGAGUUCAUAUCGACGGCGGUGUUUGGCACCUCGAUGUCGGCUCAUCACAUCCUGGGGCUGUAGCCGGUCCCAAGGGUAUGGCUGUUCGCCAUUUAAAGUGGUACGCGAGCUGGGUUCAGAACGUCGUGAGACAGUUCGGUCCCUAUCUGUCGUGGGCGUCGGAGAUUUGAGGGGGGCUGCUCCUAGUACGAGAGGACCGGAGUGGACGUUCCGCUGGUGUUCGGGUUGUCAUGCCCAUGGCAUUGCCCGGUAGCUACGAACGGAAGUGAUAACCGCUGAAAGCAUCUAAGCGGGAAGCACGCCCCAAGAUGAGAUCUCCCGAGAGCUUGACUCUCCUAAAGGCACCAUCAAGACUAGGUGGUUGAUAGGCACGGUGUGGAAGUGCAGCAAUGCAUUGAGCUUACGUGUACUAAUGAGCCGUGAGGCUUGACCU